AUAAAUGGGAGGUCCACCACAGCCCAGGCAUGCUGGGAGCACUUGCUAAGACCUGUGGACCAGCCUGCCUACUUGAGAAAAGGCCAGUGGACAAGUCCAGAGAUUAAAUGAUGAAAAAACGAUGAUAAAGGCAAAUUGGUUUUUCACCCUUUUUUUUUUCUUUUUUUUUUGGGAAUGGAGUUUUGCUUUUGUUGCCCAGGCUGGAGUGCAAUGGCACGAUCUCGGCACACUGCAACCUCCACCUCCCGAGUUCCAGUGAUUCUGCUGCCUCAGCCUCCCAAGCAGCCGGGAUUAUAGGUGUCCACAAACACGCCCAGCUAAUUUUUGUAUUUUUAGUAGAGACAGGGUUUCACCAUGUUGGUCAGGCUGGUCUUGAACUCCUGACUUCAGGUGAUCACCCACCUCCCAAAGUGCUGGGAUCACAGGUGUGAGCCACCAUGCCUGGCUGGUUUUUUCACCCUUUCUGCUCAGCAAAAAGGAGGCAAGUCUGUUGUCACUUAAUAUUAUAAGUAGACAUUCUGAUUUCUUUUAAAAUAAACUAGCAGCCUGUCUCUCCAUCCUCAGACACUUAGACUGUGAUGUCAGGUGCCACCUUUGAUGGGGCUCCCACCUGCCCUGGGGUGAGGAAGCCCCAGUCCUCUUGCUUAGGACUCCUCCCCAGUGGGAAGCAGUAGUCACACAAACUGCUGAGCCUUAGCAUUGACUGAAUGCCUUUAAUGUCCCCCCUGAAACAGGCUUUUGAUUCAUGUUGGAAACAUAAGAGGGGUGAGCUCUCUAACUUGCCUGGGAUUUUGUUUUACAUUUAAGUGUAUUGCCCUUCCUUAAAACCAAACUCUUAUAACUUACUCCUGGAAGGACUAAUUUAUUAUUCAAACUCCGAGACUUUAGAGUAAAAAGUGAUGCUAUUAAUAUUUAUACCAGGGCCAAGUGUGGUGGUUCAUGCCGAUAAUCUCAGCGCUUUGGGAGGCUGAGAUGGGAGGAUCACUUGAAGCUGGGAGUUUAAGACCAGCCUAAGCAAUAUAGCGAGACCCAAUGUCUACAAAAAAUUUAAAAAUCAGCCGGGCACAGUGGCUCACGCUGGUAAUCCCAGCACUUUGGGAGGCCGAGACGGGCGGAUCACGAGGUCAGGAGAUCGAGACCAUCCUGGCUAACACGGUGAAACCCCGUCUCUACUAAAAAUACAAAACAUUAGCCAGGCAUGGUGGCACGCACCUGUAGUCCGUUACUCGGGAGGCUGAGGCAGGAGAAUCGCUUGAAUCUGGGAGGCAGAGGUUGCAGUGAGCCGAGAUCACGCCACUGCAGUCCAGCCUGGGUGACAAAGUGAGACUCCAUCUCAAAAAAAAAAAAAAACAAAAAUUAGCUGGGCAUGGUGGCCUGCACUUGUAGUCCAAGCUACUGAGGAAGCUGAGGUGGGAGGAUUGCUUGAGCCUGGGCAGUCAAGGCUGCAGUGAGCUGUAGUUGUGGCACUGUACUCCAACCUGGGCAAGAGAGCAAGACCCUGUCUCUUAAAAAAAAAAAAAAUCGGCCAGGUGUGGUGGCUCACACCUGUAAUCCCAGCACUUUGGGAGGCUAAGGCAGGCGGAUCAUGAAGUCAGGAGAUCAAGACCAUCCUGGCUAACAUGGUGAAACCCCAUCUCUACUAAAAAUACAAAAAAUCAGCUGGGCGUGGUGGCGCUCACCUGUAGUCUCAGCUACUCAGGAGGCUGAGGCAGGAGAAUUGCUUGAACCCAGAAGGCGGAGAUUGCAGUGAGCCAAGAUUGCGCCAUUGCACUCCAGCCUGGGCACUAGAGCAAGACUCGGUCUCCAAAAAAUAAAAAUAAAAAAUAACAAAAGGGUACAGAGGGUACCUAGAAAUGCUUUUACCUUAUUGUUCAGAGAACGUUGUUCUGUGGUGUUGGAAAAAUAAGCUCAGGAGUACUCAGCUGCUUUCCUCUGCUGUCUCUACCAGCUCUGAGCAGGCAGCAUGGCCAGCCACCUUGAUUAUAUGACCUCCAAGCUUCACAGACUUUCAAGGUAGAUGAUAUUGUUGAAAUCUUUGAUUCAGUAAGCUCACCUAACCUGCCCAAAGCAAGGGUGACUAAGUUAUUGUCAAACUGAGUCACUUGUGAGAAUAAAAGGCCGUGCUAUUCUAUUUAUGCCAGCACAAACAGCAUAAACCAGGACUGUUCCAGACCCAGCAAGCAGGAAGUAUAGGCAGCCUUCCUCCGGUCAAAGAGUUCGCAGGUGGUGCUGAACGACUCCAGAACGUGAACUGCCCUACAGCAGGCAUCUUCUACAGUCAAGCUGAGGUCUCCUGGAGGUUACAAGCACCUGUAAAAGUGAUUUGCCAACAUCUUGUCCAAAUAAUUUCUCUCAUCUUUAUUUUUAUUAAAAAAAAUAAAACAGUCACCACCAACCACAUGACAACUCGCCAGGCAAGGCCUUGCUUCCCUCCCUCCUUUGCGUCCCAUGUGCCUAGUCAGCAAGGUCGGGGAGGCACCGAUGUUAGCUUCGCCCAAAGGGAGUAUUACAGAGAGAGGCUUGGGAAAGGGAAGGAAACCUGGACAGGCUUUUCAGCACUGAGAAAUCACUUAAAACUGAUUUGCUUUCAGUAACUGGUAUGUCUGAAAUGCAGGGAGGGAAGACCAUGCUGUCAGCAAUCAACCCACUUUUUACAGGUUGGCUCCAGGGAGAGGUUGGUUGAAACGGUGUUUAAAGGAAGG
rnacentral:lncRNA from 10 species